rnacentral:rRNA from 1 species
GAUGAACGCUGGCGGCGUGCCUAAUACAUGCAAGUCGAGCGAACAGACGAGGAGCUUGCUCCUCUGACGUUAGCGGCGGACGGGUGAGUAACACGUGGAUAACCUACCUAUAAGACUGGGAUAACUUCGGGAAACCGGAGCUAAUACCGGAUAAUAUAUUGAACCGCAUGGUUCAAUAGUGAAAGACGGUUUUGCUGUCACUUAUAGAUGGAUCCGCGCCGCAUUAGCUAGUUGGUAAGGUAACGGCUUACCAAGGCAACGAUGCGUAGCCGACCUGAGAGGGUGAUCGGCCACACUGGAACUGAGACACGGUCCAGACUCCUACGGGAGGCAGCAGUAGGGAAUCUGCCGCAAUGGGCGAAAGCAUGACGGAGCAACGCCGCGUGAGUGAUGAAGGUCUUCGGAGCGUAAAACUCUGUUAUUAGGGAAGAACAAAUGUGUAAGUAACUAUGCACGUCUUGACGGUACCUAAUCAGAAAGCCACGGCUAACUACGUG